UACGUAGGGUGCAAGCGUUGUCCGGGAUUAUUGGGCGUAAAGAGCUCGUAGGCGGUUUGUCGCGUCUGCUGUGAAAACUGGAGGCUCAACCUCCAGCCUGCAGUGGGUACGGGCAAACUAGAGUGCGGUAGGGGAGAUUGGAAUUCCUGGUGUAGCGGUGGGAUGCGCAGAUAUCAGGAGGAACACCGAUGGCGAAGGCAGAUCUCUGGGCCGUAACUGACGCUGAGGCGCGAAAGCUAGGGGAGCGAACGGG
rnacentral:rRNA from 1 species